AUGGGAUGUCCAAAUGCCUGCGUAAUGCCCUGGUGUUGGUGCCAGCUGGGAGUACCCAUCGCUUUUGGAGUCCAGUCCUCUGGUGCUCAGCAGGGCUGCUCUGAGGCAGUGCAGCACAGUGGCAGGUUUCCUCUGCAGUACCACCAGCACUGUCAGUGUCUGAUUUGAACCUGUACCAGACAUGCAGCUUGCAGAGAACAGGCUUGAGUGCAUAGCAGCAGGACAGGAGCUGGAGUUGAGUCCCUCCAAAGUAAAUCCAAGAACAGGCAAAAAACCUCUGAGGAUCUCCUUGCUGCUCCAGUUGCUGGACACUUCCAAUGUGGAAGGACUGCAAAAUCCACUUUUGCACAUGCCAGUCCCAACCACCCUCAGCUUAUGCCCACAGCAGAACUUGGGCCCAUUUUGGGGUGGGUAUAACACGUCCCCAGCUGGCACGGCCAUACCAGGGGCUGCAGGUAGCUGUCUGCCUGCUGCACUGAUGGGCACACCAGGGACAGCGUGAGCCACACUCAGCCCAGGGACAGGAGGAGCACAGGCUGAGGUGGAAGGGAUGACAGAAAACUGCUCAUAAAUAAGGUGAAGUUUUGUAUUUUGUGAACCUGGUUUGCUAAAAAUGCCCCCAGAUUUUAUUCUUCAUACAAAAAUGGGCUCCUUCCUGACUAGAAAUAUAUCCAUUUGAAGUCUAAAUUACUUUGAGAUUAAAGUGCAAAUUAGGUUUCUGGAUUUUAAAAUUCCAUUUUAAUUGAAUGUUGUAGCCAUGUGGAAUUUAAAGAAACUGAAAAUCUCUGAAGCCAAAUGGCAGACUUAUUAUUUGAAAUUUGAUGACAAAUUUGUCCUUAAUUUCAUCCAAUUAUAUUAAGAGGUCUUUCUGUUACAAAGCAUUAAAAAGCACUACUAAGGCCAGAAAGGCGCUAGAGAAAUCUUUUUUCUGUCAUGUGGAGCCCUGUACAGAAUUGCGUGGGUUUAAAUAAAAUGUAUCUUGAUAGUUUACCUUAAAACUCUCUGUCCUUUUCCUCAGUUCAGCUGAAUCCUAUGAAAUAGAUAUGCAGCUUGGAGAAGUUCUUCACACCCCCACAAAUGCUAAAAAUGGCCCUGAUACAACAUGUAUUUAUGUAACAAAAUCAUCUGCAUUAAUAUCUUCCUUUCCUUUCUGCAAGAAGCACAGGAGGGACUCAGGCUGACACAUUUUAAUGCAACCCCUUCCAUUCUCCUUGCAUUUCGGGCAGCAGGGACGAGCAGUGUUUUCCCUCAAAAACCAGGCCACUGAAUGAACAGGAAUAUGACAUGAUUAUUAAUGGGGUGUUCAAAUGGGAAACUGUGGUCCAAGCUUUUGGGCUCUCUCUCUGAAUAUUCAGUACCCUGUUAUGGAUCAAAUUUCUGGGUAACAAUAUUUCUGGUCAUUGUUGUUAUCCUGAUGAUCCAAAAUAACAAGGGCAUUUAGAACAUUUCUUCUACUUUUACCAAGAAGCCAAGAGACUGGCUGGCUCGUGGGAUCAAGCAUGAUGUAUAGAGCCUCUCACCUCUCGUUCACAUCUGGUAGCGUGAAGUGAAGAAUGUUCCUGCUUGACAGCUGUCUGGUGUCGCAUUUGUCACCGUCACAUGCAGGUGGACUUCUGCUCUCUGGACCACGGCCCGUCCCCAGGCACCUGGGCAGGUCUGCAGCCGGAGAAGGGGCUCAGACACCAUGCACACACAGUGCCGGGGUUUACCUCUGCCCCCAGGGCUUGUUCCCUGGGCUCAGAUGGAGGCAUGCGGUCAGGAAGCAGAAGAAGAGUGAAUUAUAGCUGCUGCUGCUGCUGUUGCCACCGUAGAUAGGGUUGGAGGAAGCCUUGCUCACCCUGCCAUGUUUAGCAUCACCAAAGUACCUGGGGACAAACAGCAAACAACCCUCUCUGCUUUCCAGACAGAGCCUUAGAGUACCAACUCUGCUUCUCCCCUCUGGAUGCUGACACCCAACGGUGCAUGGCUCCCUGCCCACCAGCUCCUUUGCAGGCUCUGUUAUUCCCAAGGGGCCGUCCCGAAGAACGACCUCCUGAGCCCGUUCAAACGAUGCUCAGUGCCCCAGCCCGAUGCCUGUUGUGGAAACGAAUCCUAACCAGCAGCGAGGAUCAAACCAAUAUUCUCGGCAGCAGCUGUAAACUCGAUAAGCUGCCUGUCCUCCUUUCUCUCCCCCCGCCCCAUCCCUCCCUUUGGUGUUGAAAUGAAGGCAGAGACAUGCUGAGAGAAGCAGUGCAGCGCUCUGUUUGCAGGAUAAUAUGCCGACCACAUGUAUGUAUUAAAGGCUGUAUGGAGUUAUAAUGAGCCAGGAGCAUUUAAAUGCAAGCCAAGGGGAAUUUGCUAUUCUGUGUGGGCAGAUUUCAAUUGUAAGGUUGGCAGCUCUGGUAUCCUGUUCUCUAAUGCCAUGGGAUGAGAAAAAAUAGGCUUUUCUUUCAGAGCAGUUGAUUAUUGAAUACGCACCAGCUGUUCACCCUAAUCCAAGCUUUCUGUGCUUGCUCCUUGUAAUAGAGGCAUCCCUCAUCCGUCCAUCCAUCUAUCCAUCCCCCCGUUCUCAUUUUCAUGGCUCUUUUGUAAUCUUUCAGAGAGGUGGUUAGCAGAUAUCAGCCAUCUAAAACGACAUAAGCGUCAGUACCAGGCGAGGGUUAUAACUAAUUAACGAGAGAAGAAAGGCACCCCCAGCCAUAUAUUGAAACUCAAAUUAUAUUUCUCAUCCACUGCAAGACAUGAAAAAAAGCCAUCAUGAAUCAGAAGGCAGAGAACCAUUUUUUAGCAGUGACACCUGACUCCGUGCCCAGCAAACCGUGUGGGAUCAGAGCUGGAGCAAGUCCUGUGCCGGUGCGGAGCAGCAGCUGGGCUGUCCCUCCUGCCCCACCGAGAGCCCAGGGACCUGCACCCAGCCAUGCAGCAGCA